CAUGCCUCCUCUUAUCAUUUCUCCUUUUCAUGCCCAAAAGUUUGGUGCUUUCUCUUCCACACAUCUAGAAGAGGCUCUGGUGACUUAGAGAUCAAGGAUCAAGGAGAAAAAGAAGAAGGCUGCAGAUCAAGGAGUUGAUCUCGUAGUUAAGAUCAAAGGAGUUGAUCAAAAUCUUCAAGGCCAAGGUUCUUCUUGAGAAGAAGAAUCUC
rnacentral:lncRNA from 1 species